rnacentral:ncRNA from 1 species
GUUAAAACGAAGAAGAGGAAAAGUAUUCAUUAGAAGUAGCAACUACAGAGAGCUGCUGGUGCUGAUAGGCGGCGUUGCUCUAAUGAAGAAGCUCACCUCUGAGUGUCAACCUGAACGAAUAUUCUACUAGGGUUGGUCGAGUGUUAAAAGCACUCGUUAUCAAAAUGUGAUAAGCCUGGCUUGUCCAAGAGGCUGAAUGCAUGUUAUUCAGCGAACAAGGGUGGUACCGUGAAAAGAAUCUUUUCACCCCUUCA